rnacentral:rRNA from 1 species
GGUAAACGGCGGCCGUAACAAUAACGGUCCUAAGGUAGCGAAAUUCCUUGUCGGGUAAGUUCCGACCUGCACGAAUGGCGUAACGACUUCCCCACUGUCUCCAGGAUAUGCUCAGCGAAAUUGAAGUUCCCGUGAAGAUGCGGGAUACCCGCGGUUAGACGGAAAGACCCCGUGCACCUUUACUACAGCUUCACACUGGCAUCAGGCCAAGCAUGUGCAGGAUAGGUGGUGGGCU